CAUUGGGAGCUCUCUUGUUCUUCUUUGCAUAAUUUCCGUGAUCGGUUAUCUCUGUUAUUCUAAAAGGAUCAUAAAAAGAAAACGAAGAAAUUUUCAAAAUGAAAUAUAUUUUAGAGAGGGGCAGAGCUCAUCUAGGGCCUGAUGUCAGAAACACCGCAGAGCAAUUCAAGGAAGACCAAUGUAUAUAUAGUAAAAUAAGUUCUAUAUCUGUCCAGGAAUCUCCUCUCCCUCUUGUAAUCUCCGACUCACUCUAUGGCCACAAAGAUGAUCCUAUUUACCAUACUCUUUCUCUCAGACUAGAUCUAAGGGAUGAAAAGUUUCUAGUUCCGGUAUGUAGCUGUACUGGACCAAGGAAACCUCAUUCAGUAUCGAAUAUCAAUAUUCAUAGUGCGUGUGAGGAGCCGUCGCUUAACUUUAAUCCAUUGAUACGUUCUCACUCAGAGGGCGAGUCAGAUUUCUUAGAUAAAAC